rnacentral:rRNA from 1 species
AUGCAGAAGAUGGGCAAGAACUGCGAGCGCUGCGCGGAGUGGCAAGAGCAUUGCUACUGGAGCCACAUGGCUGAUGAGAACAAGCACUUCUUCAAGCUCAUGGUUGGGGACUUCACCCAAAGCAUGAGCUUACCUGGUAGGUUUGCAAAGAACUUCAACGGGCGCAUCUCUGAAGUCAUCAAUCUGAAGCCCCCCAGUGGCAAAUCUUGGAGCAUCAAAGUAGCCGGCGACACGGACGAAGUAGUCCUCCGGUCUGGGUGGAAGGAGUUUGUCGACGGUCACGGUAUCGGGGAAGGAGACCGCCUGCUCUUCAAAUAUGGUGGAGCGUCCUCCUUUGAUGUCCUGAUGUUCGACUCGACCGGCUGCCAGAAACCACCACCUCCUCGUCCUGUCAAACGUCGUGCCUGUGAUGACAAUGACAUAGCAGAGAACUCUGCCAGAGCUAAAGGCCGCCGAUGCGGCUACCAGGCUUCCAACAAAGCUGAAGAACGCGCACCGCAUCCGCCACCGGCGGCGAAAGGCGAUGGUGCUGGCCUGGAGAUGACGCUUUACAGAGGCACCGGCAAGAGCAUUGCCCGGGCAGGCCACGAAGAUGUUGACAUGGAUCAUGGUGAGGCGGCUGCCAAGAAUAGGUACUACUUCUGCAAGAAUGGGCCCGUGAGCGAGUUCCAUCUGACGGAGGAAGACAAGGAGGAGAUAUCAAGCGUCCCUGUCCCGACUGGGCCAAGAAACCCGGUGUUCGUGAAUGUGAUGCACCCGAACCAUGUCUGCGGCACCAACCGGACCAGCAUUGUGCGUGUCCCCUCGGAGUUUGUAGGCAAGUACUUGGGAACAAUUGGCAAAGAGAUCAUUCUGCGGAGAGCCAGCGGGAAAGGGAGGUGGCACGUCCGCUACGCGAGCGGAGACCACUACCGGGGCCUCUGCGGUCUCGGAUGGCGCAACUUCGCCCGCGACAACGGCCUCCUUGCACACGACGUGUGUGUUUUCGAGUUAAUGGAGGGUGCGCGGCGACCGGCGGCCAACGUUCACGUCCUGCGGAGGCUGCACGGCCGCUUCGUCCUGGUGCGCUGA